UGGGGAAUAUUGGACAAUGGGCGAAAGCCUGAUCCAGCCAUGCCGCGUGUGUGAAGAAGGUCUUCGGAUUGUAAAGUACCUUAAGUUGGGAGGAAGGGCAGUAAGCGAAUACCUUGCUGUUUUGACGCUACCGACAGAAUAAGCACCGGCUAACUCUGUGCCAGCAGCCGCGGUAAUACAGAAGGUGCAAGCGUUAAUCGGUAUUACUGGGCGUAAAGCGCGCGUAGGUGGUUCGUUAAGUUGAAUGUGAAAGCCCCGGGCUCAACCUGGGAGCUGCAUCCAAAACUGGCGAGCUAAAGUAGGGCAGAGGGUGGUGGAAUUUCCUGUGUGGCGGUGAAAUGCGUGGAUAUAGGAAGGAACACCAGUGGCGAAGGCGACCACCUGGGCUCAUACUAACACUGAGGUGCGAAAGCGUGGGGAGCAAACAGG
rnacentral:rRNA from 1 species